rnacentral:rRNA from 2 species
UGGAGAGUUUGAUCCUGGCUCAGGAUUAACGCUGGCAGUGUGUAUAAUACAUGCAAGUCGAGCGCCCCGCACUUUGUUUUCGAUUAGACAGCAGGCAGCAAAGAGCAGACAGCAGAGAGGAUCUGUUAUCUGUGUCUUGUUAUCUGCAUCUGUAUCGAAGGUAGUGUGCGGGGAGCGGCAAACGGGUGAGUAACACGUUGGAAUCUGCCCCGAACUCAGGGAUAGCCCACCGAAAGGUGGAUUAAUACCGGAUGGUCCCGUAAGGGUAAAGCUUUUGCGGUUUGGGAGGAGCCUGCGUAGUAUCAGCUUGUUGGUGAGGUAAUGGCUCACCAAGGCUAUGACGCUUAGCUGGUCUGAGAGGAUGACCAGUCACAAUGGGACUGAGACACGGCCCAUACUCCUACGGGAGGCAGCAGUAGAGAAUCUUUCGCAAUGGGGGAAACCCUGACGGAGCAACACUGCGUGACCGAUGAAGGCCUUCGGGUUGUAAAGGUCUUUUCUGAGGGAAUAAUUCUGAAGGUACCUUAGGAAUAAGCACCGGCUAAUUCCGUGCCAGCAGCCGCGGUAAUACGGAAGGUGCAAGCGUUAUCCGGAAUCAUUGGGCGUAAAGCGUCCGUAGGUGGUAAUUUAAGUCGGAUGUUAAAUCCAGGGGCUCAACUCCUGGCUCGUAUCUGAUACUGGAUUACUAGAGUCUUGUAGAGGCACGUGGAAUUCUGUGUGUAGGGGUAAAAUCCGUAGAUACACAGAGGAACACCAAAAGCGAAGGCAGCGUGCUGGGCAAGUACUGACACUGAGGGACGAAAGCGUGGGUAGCGAACGGGAUUAGAUACCCCGGUAGUCCACGCCGUAAACGAUGGAUACUAGGUGUUGGCUCAUCGACCGAGUCAGUGCCGACGCAAACGCAUUAAGUAUCCCGCCUGGGGAGUACGGUCGCAAGAUUAAAACUCAAAGGAAUAGACGGGGACCCACACAAGCGGUGGAGCAUGUGGUUUAAUUCGAUGAUAAGCGAGGAACCUUACCAAGACUUGACAUCUCGGGAAUUCUGAAGAAAUUCGGAAGUGCCGUAAGGAACCCGAUGACAGGUGCUGCAUGGUUGUCGUCAGCUCGUGCCUUGAGGUGUACGGUUAAGUCCGCAAACGAGCGCAACCCUUGUCCUUAGUUGCAUUUUUCUAAGGAGACUGCCCUGACUUAGUUAGGGAGGAAGGUAAGGAUGACGUCAAAUCAGCAUGGCCCUUAUGUCUUGGGCGACACACGUGCUACAAUGGCCGGUACAACGGGUAGCCAAGCGGUAACGCGGAGCCAAUCCCUAAAAACCGGUCUCAGUUCGGAUUGAGGGCUGAAACUCGCCCUCAUGAAGUUGGAAUCGCUAGUAAACGCGCAUCAGCCACGGCGCGUUGAAUAUGUUCCUGGGUCUUGUACUCACCGCCCGUCACAUCCUGAAAGAUGGGGGUGCCCAAAGGUCCCUGCUAAGCAGGGGACUAAGGUAAAACCAUUGAUUGGGAUGAAGUCGUAACAAGGUAUCCGUAGGAGAACCUGCGGAUGGAACACCUCCUUUCUAGGGA